UCCCGACUUGUCGGGAUAGUAAACUGGCGAACGGGUGAGUAACGCGUAGGUAAUCUGCCCUUGGGAUUGGGAUAAUCCGCCGAAAGGCGGACUAAUACCGAAUAAAUUCCCGAUACUUAAGCAUUGGGAUGAAAGGUGGGGAUUUUCGGACCUGCUACCUGAGGAUGAGCCUGCGUCUGAUUAGCUAGUUGGUAGAUUAAAAGCCUACCAAGGCUACAAUCAGUAGCUGGUCUGAGAGGAUGAUCAGCCACAUUGGGACUGAGAUACGGCCCAGACUCCUACGGGAGGCAGCAGUGGGGAAUCUUGCGCAAUGGCCGAAAGGCUGACGCAGCAACGCCGCGUGACCGAUUGAAGCUCUGAGGAGUGUAAAGGUCUGUUGUGGGAGAAGAAAAAAUCAGAGGAUAAUAUGUUCUGAUUCUGACGGUAUCCCAUAAGAAAGCUCCGGCUAACUCCGUGCCAGCAGCCGCGGUAAUACGGGGGGAGCAAGCGUUGUCCGGAAUUAUUGGGCGUAAAGAGCGUGUAGGUGUCUCGAUAAGUUUUUUGUGAAAUGCUUCCGCUCAACGGAAGAGCUGCAAGAAAUACUGUCGGGAUUGAGUUCAGAAGGGGGAAGCGGAAUUCCUGGUGUAGCGGUGAAAUGCGUAGAUAUCAGGAAGAACACCGGUAGCGAAGGCGGCUUCCUGGUCUGAAACUGACACUGAGACGCGAAAGCGUGGGGAGCGAACAGGAUUA
rnacentral:rRNA from 1 species